GCCUGAGAAGACGCGAGGCUGUCGCUGCUGCAGUACUGGGCGGAGGGCCUGUCUGAGAGGGAGCCAACCUCGAGGAAACUGGGUCAACCAUGGACAAGGACACACCAGCUCUGUGACGUCACGCUGGAGGGCUGGGUGUGACAGGGCCCUUCAGAGAGCCUUGAGACAGAACCUCAGCAGACGGUGGCAGCUGAAGACCCAGGAAUCUCAUCAAAUAACCAGGAAAGAUUAACUACUGGAGAAGAGAAGAGACUGGAAUCAUCACCAUGCCAGACAGACUUUUCAUCUGUUCUGAGGACAGCUCCAAGAGAUUACCUGGGAGGCUUUAUCUGUGAAAAAGACAACCUUUGUUCACAGUGUGGUUCUGCCCCUCACCCUUCUGCCACCUGCCCCAGAACUCAGAGGAACUUUGUCCCAGACUAUUAUCUAUUCUUUGGGCUCACUCAUUUUCCUUAGAAAUCAUUUACUACCCCUUUAAAAUGUCCUACAGUCCGCCACUUCCCUGUCCCCUAUGUAGAGGGUAUAUAAGCCUCAACCAUCUGGCCCUUCUUUGAGUCUCCAAUUUGUAGGGCUUCCAUGGCCAUAUGCACCGUAAUAAAUGUG